GAUCCAGCCGGAUGACCAAAGUAGGACGGUUUACGGUCGAUCAGUCCACCCCCGGAACUGUUCGAAUUCGAAUUCGGACACUGCAUCUUUAUCCCUGGAACACAAGAAGAAGCGCCAAAUCUUUUUGUCCCUCGGACGUUCGUAUACGAGAAACAGACAAAAAAGAAUUACGGUAUCGGAGCGUAACGUCGAAAUACGAUGGCAGUAAAAGAGCACAGAAGCGGCUUCCUCGGCGAAUAUCGGAGCCGGCGUACCAACAACGAUGCCGUAGUAGAGAGAUCGCUCCAGAAAUACAUUCCAACAGCGACGGGGUAGAAGAAAAAGGAGAAAGAGGAAAACUGGGGCCAACCGAGACGUCUGCAGAUUGAUCUCGUUUACACUUUACUGACUGAACGCCAGGAGAUGGAAGGGAGGAGAAAGGGUUGCGUGGGUGGCACGUUUAUCCCUUGUCGAUUCCACGAUGUAUCGAGGUGGAAAGAAGGAAUAGAUUGUACUUAUAACGGGAGUGCAGGAAUGGGAACGAUCUGUUGAUCGGAACACGAUGGAUAUACAGGCUUUCCUAACAAUAUUGAUAUAAAAUGGGAAGGUGUCUGACAACCGCUGUGCGGUGAGCUGACGUUUCCAACAGGACUACUGUUCCCAGUCUGCUCCGGAAUUCCUUGCAUGGCGA